AUUGCAACAAUGUUAUGGUCUCUACAGCUAAUGUGAACUGAUAUUGCUUUGGAGCAAAGCUCUGCAGCAUUGGUGAAGAUACAAUCAUUACAAGUGCAGUCCUGGAGGACCCCCAUUUUAUAACGUUUGACGGCGUGAAGUACACUUUCAAUGGGAAAGGAGAAUACUGCCGGGUUGACUCCCCAGGCAGAGGGCUGAGAAUUCAGGGCCGGACAGAGCAGGUGAAACUAGAGAACGGUACCUUAGCCAAGGCUAAUAGUCCAUCGGCUGUGACUAUAAGAGAGAAUACCUCUGUCAAAGAGGUGCACCAGGCAGAGCAGCAGGAUCAUCUGGAGGUGUUUAGGAACCAGCAACUCCCCUCCUUCACAGAACAGUGAUGAAUGGACCUACAUGGUGUUUUCUGUACUCUCCGACACCGCAGAACAUGACGGUCAUGUUCUCUUCAGGGGUGGAGGUAGAGGUGCAGGGGCGAGAGGUGCCACCAUGGCCCUUACCGUGCUGCUCCCCCAGACUACACCAACCUUACCCAGAGGCUGCUGGGACAGAUUAAGUCUGACCCUUCAGAUGACCUGCUGACCAGCCUGGGAGAGGUCGUCUCCCCUGACAACCCCAGCACUGAGGAGAUAUUCUCAUUCCGAGCUGGCUGUGAGUCCAUGGGCCUCUCUCUGCAUUGAAACUAACAGUGCAUCUCAGUUAUCCAAAGCUCUUUCUCAA